CUGGACUUGAUGAUCCUUAUGAGUGACUUCCAACUCAGGAUAUUCUAUGAUUCUAUUUCCCCACAAUCAGGAAAAUUUUAAAAGUCUAAUAUGGUGCAACAUUUUAUUCCCUUGUUACUAAACAUGACUUUAAGAACAUUUCUACAACCAUUAAAUUUGAGUUUUAAAAAAUAGUCCUUUAUAUUUUAAAAAUAUAAAAUUUGCUGCAGCAGAUGGAUUACUGUUCAAUAUAUUAUUUACUACCACAACAUGAAGUAUACAGUAAAUACCUUAAAUUGACAGGGUUUCUCAGACUUUUUCUCUAUUAAUAGAUGUCCUUUCUGGAAACUUCUUCCCUACUGAAGUAAAAAAAAAGACAAACACAAAAACAAUUAAUUUAGCUUUUCUGCAACGCUCUUUUUCUUUUAGUGCUCAGAAAAUGUUAAUUCUAGACAUAUAUUGAGGUCAAACCAUUUGGAUCAUCUUUUUAGAACCUUUACUCACAUUGGAACAAAUUAAUCCCAGUGAUGCCAAUUAAUGGGAUAUUAGUGGAAUCACUCUCCAAUAUUAGGUUAUGUCACUUUCAAAGAAAGUGCUGUAAGUGUUUGGUAAGUGACAAAGAAAUUGUCAGAAGUGUUGAGGCAAACACUAUAGCACACAUGUGCAGACAUAUCCACUAUCUAAUAAUCUACAUUAAACAGCUCACAGAGAACAUAGACAAACAUAGCAACACUCCCAUUUAAAGUUAUUUUUUUUAGUUCUUGUUUAUACGAUACACCACUUUAUUCAAAAAUGUUCCCCCUCAGAUUUACAGCUUGCAAGUGCUUUUGUCUACCAUGCUUUUGAUAUGAGCAGGGUAUGCCGGAGGGAUCAGGACCUCCUGUGGACCUCUGAUGAACCAGCUGACAGGGAAUACCCAACUUCUGCUGUAACAGCAUUUCUGCUGUCCUCUGUGUAAAAUGAGAGCUCCUGGGAAUGUUAACACAAGCUGAAAAGAAAUGCCAGUGCUCUAAUUUUCUAGAGCAAAACUUUUCUUCCCUACAAUUCUGCUAAGAUGCAACUCAGCACUGGGCCAUGGCAAAGCCCAAGCUGUGUGCCAUACUUUGGCUGGCAGGAUGUGUUACCUGGUUAGGAAAUGUGCUUUAUAGAUCUGAUCUAGCAUUCUCAACAGAGAAUGCCAUGCUAAUGCAGAAGAAAAAGUGGGAAAUGCGAACUGAACUCUGUAAGAAAUUCACUAAUUAACAUAACUAAUGAGACACUUGAACACAUUGUCUGGGAUGAAAAGCAGUUCAAAAUGUUUGCUCAAUGGGCUAUAACAGAUGCUUGUUAAAAUCUAUGGAGCUAGACCAUAAGCCCUGAGACACUGCUGUACAUGAAGUUUCUUUUUUGGUUUAUUUGAUUUUUUUAAAUGUAUUAUUAUUUCUUUA